GUGAGGAAUAUUGGUCAAUGGGCGAGAGCCUGAACCAGCCAAGUCGCGUGAAGGAAGAAGGAUCUAUGGUUCGUAAACUUCUUUUGCAGGGGAAUAAAGUGCGGGACGUGUCCUGUUUUGUAUGUACCCUGAGAAUAAGGAUCGGCUAACUCCGUGCCAGCAGCCGCGGUAAUACGGAGGAUCCGAGCGUUAUCCGGAUUUAUUGGGUUUAAAGGGUGCGUAGGUGGUUUGAUAAGUCAGCGGUGAAAGUUUGUAGCUUAACUGUAAAAAUGCCGUUGAAACUGUCGGACUUGAGUGUAAAUGAGGUAGGCGGAAUGCGUGGUGUAGCGGUGAAAUGCAUAGAUAUCACGCAGAACUCCGAUUGCGAAGGCAGCUUACUAAGCUACAACUGACACUGAAGCACGAAAGCGUGGGGAUCAAACAGGAUUAGAAACCCUUGUAGUCC
rnacentral:rRNA from 1 species